rnacentral:rRNA from 1 species
ACGAACGCUGGCGGCGUGCUUAACACAUGCAAGUCGAACGGUGAAGCGCCUUCCUUUUUGGUGGGUGUGGAUGAGUGGCGAACGGGUGAGUAACACGUGAGUAACCUGCCCCCUUCUUCUGGAUAACCGCAUGAAAGUGUGGCUAAUACGGGAUAUUCUGGGUCUGUCGCAUGAUGGGUCUGGGAAAGAUAUUGUUUCGGUGGGGGAUGGGCUCGCGGCCUAUCAGCUUGUUGGUGGGGUGAUGGCCUACCCAGGCGGUGACGGGUAGCCGGCCUGAGAGGGUGGACGGUCACACGGGGACUGAGACACGGCCCAGACUCCUACGGGAGGCAGCAGGGGGGAAUAUUGCACAAUGGGCGCAAGCCUGAUGCAGCGACGCCGCGUGAGGGAUGGAGGCCUGCGGGUUGUGAACCUCUUUCGCCAGUGAAGCAGGCCUGCCUCGUUUGUGGGUGGGUUGACGGUAGCUGGAUAAGAAGCGCCGGCUAACUACGUG